AGAGUUUGAUCAUGGCUCAGAUUGAACGCUGGCGGCAGGCCUAACACAUGCAAGUCGAGCGGUAGAGAGGAGCUUGCUCCUCUUGAGAGCGGCGGACGGGUGAGUAAAGCCUAGGAAUCUGCCUGGUAGUGGGGGAUAACGUUCGGAAACGGACGCUAAUACCGCAUACGUCCUACGGGAGAAGGCAGGGGACCUUCGGGCCUUGCGCUAUCAGAUGAGCCUAGGUCGGAUUAGCUAGUUGGUGGGGUAAUGGCUCACCAAGGCGACGAUCCGUAACUGGUCUGAGAGGGUGAUCAGUCACACUGGAACUGAGACACGGUCCAGACUCCUACGGGAGGCAGCAGUGGGGAAUAUUAGACAAUGGGCGAAAGCCUGAUCCAGCCAUGCCGCGUGUGUGAAGAAGGUCUUCGGAUUGUAAAGCACUUUAAGUUGGGAGGAAGGGCAGUAAAUUAAUACUUUGCUGUUUUGACGUUACCGACAGAAUAAGCACCGGCUAACUCUGUGCCAGCAGCCGCGGUAAUACAGAGGGUGCAAGCGUUAAUCGGAAUUACUGGGCGUAAAGCGCGCGUAGGUGGUUCGCUAAGUUGGAUGUGAAAUCCCCGGGCUCAACCUGGGAACUGCAUUCAAAACUGACGAGCUAGAGUAUGGUAGAGGGUGGUGGAAUUUCCUGUGUAGCGGUGAAAUGCGUAGAUAUAGGAAGGAACACCAGUGGCGAAGGCGGGUCUCUGGGCAGUAACUGACGCUGAGGAGCGAAAGCGUGGGGAGCGAACAGGAUUAGAUACCCUGGUAGUCCAA
rnacentral:rRNA from 1 species